rnacentral:rRNA from 1 species
GCGAACGCUGGCGGCAGGCCUAACACAUGCAAGUCGAGCGCCCGUAGCAAUACGGGAGCGGCAGACGGGAUAGUAACACGUGGGAACGUACCCUUCAGUUCGGAACAACCCAGGGAAACUUGGGCUAAUACCGAAUACGUCCGUAAGGAGAAAGAUUUAUCGCUGAAGGAUCGGCCCGCGUCUGAUUAGCUAGUUGGUGAGGUAACGGCUCACCAAGGCGACGAUCAGUAGCUGGUCUGAGAGGAUGAUCAGCAUCACUGGGACUGAGACACGGCCCAGACUCCUACGGGAGGCAGCAGUGGGGAAUAUUGGACAAUGGGCGCAAGCCUGAUCCAGCCAUGCCGCGUGGAUGAUGAAGGCCCUAGGGUUGUAAAGUCCUUUCGACGGGGAAGAUAAUGACGGUACCCGUAGAAGAAGCCCCGGCUAACUUCGU